rnacentral:sRNA from 1 species
GAGCCGAGCGAAGCGAGACAGCGUUGCGCUUGCCGCAACGACCCGAAGGGCGAGGGCAAAGCCUGAGUCAUCCUGCACGACCCACCA